rnacentral:tRNA from 1 species
GUAGUCGUAGUUUAAAAAAAACACUAGAUUGUGAUUCUAUAAAUAGGGGUUAAAAUCCCCUCGUCCACC